rnacentral:rRNA from 1 species
GAUGAACGCUAGCGGCAGGCCUAACACAUGCAAGUCGAGGGGCAGCACAUAAAGUGGUUUACUACUUUUGGUGGCGACCGGCGGACGGGUGCGUAACGCGUAUGCAACCUGCCUCCAACAGGGGGAUAACGGAGAGCAAUAUACACUAAUACCCCAUAAUAACAGAAACGGCAUCGGUUGUGGUUGAAAACUCCGGUGGGUGGGGAUGGGCAUGCGUUGUAUUACUAAGUUGGUGAGGUAACGGCACACCAAGUCAACGAUACAUAGGGGGACUGAGAGGUUAGCCCCCCACACCGGUACUGAGACACGGACCAGACUGCUACGGGAGGCAGCAGUGAGGAAUAUUGGUCAAUGGGGGCAACCCUGAACCAGCCAUGCCGCGUGCAGGAAGACGGCUCUAUGAGUUGUAAACUGCUUUUACAAGGGGAUAAAUCGGUGUACGUGUACACCGUUGAAGGUACCUUGGGAAUAAGGAUCGGCUAACUCCGUGCCAGCCGCCGCCGUAA